GCCCGAGUGGCGGAACUGGUUUACGCGAUGGACUCAAAAUCCAUUGCCCUUCGGGGCGUGCGGGUUCGACUCCCGCCUCGGGCACCA
rnacentral:tRNA from 1 species